GGCCAGAUCGAGCGGAGAAAUGGUGUGUUGUCCUUGAAUCGAAGGAAGACAAACAUAAAGAUGAAGUGCUUAAUUCAAGGUCACACAAUGUCGGGGAUGGACCUCCAGAUUUCCUUACUGGAAAACAAGCUCAGGGCUCCCACUGAUUGUACAUUAUGAGACGGAGUCUUGCUAUGUUGCCCAGGCUGGUCUUGAACUCCUCACCUCAAGCGAUCCUCCCGUCUUGGCCUCCCAAGUGUCAGGAUUACGGGCAUGUGCUAUCACACCCAACCUGAUACAUUGCCUUUAUAAAUUUUUUUUUCUUUAUUCUAAAAACCAGAAAAAACAAAACUGGAUACAUGUGCAGAACAUGCAGCAGGGAAUUUCUUCCACUUGCAGACCAAGUGUGUUGGGGACUUGAGAUGCGUACAUGAGUGUGAUGUUUCCUGCUGAAAGCACAGGUGAGACGUGGUCUUGUAACACAGUGGUUAAGAAUGUGACUUUGGAGCCAGCCUGCUAGGGGCUGAAUUCUGACUCAGCCAUUUACUAACUGUGUGACCUUAGGGAGGAGGACCUGGUUGAUAGAAGAAUUUAUCUCGUAGUCUUAACAUCCACUGUAAUUCCAAACUUUGAGGACGAUAGAGAUCAGUGGGCUUUGACUGCCCAGCAUGCAGUCUCCAUUCUUAGGUGGGUUCCCAAGCCUGUAAAAUGUAAGCCUUAUGCUGCUGAGGGCCAUCUUGCCACCCUGAGGGAAACGCUGCCUGAGAAUGAAACAAGCAUAAGUAAAAGCUGAGCUGUGAGAUGGAGCAAGAUGAAGGCCACAUGACAUCUUUGGAGCACCUGGAUCUAACUGUGCCUUAAGCUAGUCUAACCCUGAACAUUUCA
rnacentral:lncRNA from 10 species